rnacentral:rRNA from 1 species
AUUGAACGCUGGCGGAAUGCUUUACACAUGCAAGUCGAACGGCAGCACGGACUUCGGUCUGGUGGCGAGUGGCGAACGGGUGAGUAAUACAUCGGAACGUGCCCAGUCGUGGGGGAUAACGUAGCGAAAGCUACGCUAAUACCGCAUACGAUCUAAGGAUGAGAGCGGGGGAUCGCAAGACCUCGCGCGAUUGGAGCGGCCGAUGGCAGAUUAGGUAGUUGGUGGGGUAAAGGCCUACCAAGCCGACGAUCUGUAGCUGGUCUGAGAGGACGACAAGCCACACUGGGACUGAGACACGGCCCAGACUCCUACGGGAGGCAGCAGUGGGGAAUUUUGGACAAUGGGCGCAAGCCUGAUCCAGCCAUUCCGCGUGCAGGAUGAAGGCCCUCGGGUUGUAAACUGCUUUUGUACAGAACGAAAAGGCUCUGGUUAAUACCUGGGGCUCAUGACGGUACUGUAAGAAUAAGCACCGGCUAACUACGUGCCAGCCGCCGCCGUAAGAC